CCCUGGGUGGUGUAAAUGUUCUACAUGCUUGAUUGUUAACCAAAUUUGGAGGUUCGAUUCCUCCCAGGGG
rnacentral:tRNA from 1 species